AACGAACGCUGGCGGCAGGCUUAACACAUGCAAGUCGAGCGCCCCGCAAGGGGAGCGGCAGACGGGUGAGUAACGCGUGGGAAUCUACCCAUCUCUACGGAAUAACGCAUGGAAACGUGUGCUAAUACCGUAUACGUCCUUCGGGAGAAAGAUUUAUCGGAGAUGGAUGAGCCCGCGUUGGAUUAGCUAGUUGGUGGGGUAAAGGCCUACCAGGGCGACGAUCCAUAGCUGGUCUGAGAGGAUGAUCAGCCACACUGGGACUGAGACACGGCCCAGACUCCUACGGGAGGCAGCAGUGGGGAAUAUUGGACAAUGGGCGCAAGCCUGAUCCAGCCAUGCCGCGUGAGUGAUGAAGGCCCUAGGGUUGUAAAGCUCUUUCACCGGUGAAGAUAAUGACGGUAACCAGAGAAGAAGCCCCGGCUAACUUCGUGCCAGCAGCCGCCGUAAUAC
rnacentral:rRNA from 1 species